rnacentral:rRNA from 1 species
GUCCGCAGGCGGACUUAUAAGUCAGUGGUGAAAGCCUACAGCUUANCUGUAGAACUGCCAUUGAUACUGUAGGUCUUGAAUUCGAGUCGAAGUGGGCGGAAUGUGUAGUGUAGCGGUGAAAUGCUUANAUAUUACACAGAACACCGAUAGCGAAGGCAGCUCACUAGGCCUGGAUUGACGCUCAGGGACGAAAGCGUGGGGAUCAAACAGGAUUAGAUACCCUGGUAGUCCACGCUGUAAACGAUGAUUACUCGUUUUCGGCGAUAUACUGUCGGAGACUAACCGAAAGUGAUAAGUAAUCCACCUGGGGAGUACGAUCGCAAGGUUGAAACUCAAANGAAUUGACGGGGGCCCGCACAAGCGGUGGAGCAUGUGGUUUAAUUCGAUGAUACGCGAGGAACCUUACCAGGGCUUGAAAGUUAGUGAAGAAUGUGGAAACAUGUUCGUCAGCAAUGACACNAAACUAGGUGCUGCAUGGCUGUCGUCAGCUCGUGCCG